rnacentral:lncRNA from 1 species
GGGGCAGGGGGUCUGGUUGGUUGAUAUUAUUGUUCUUCCUAUGGGGUUGCAAACCCCUUCAGCUCUUUCAGUCCCUUCUCUUACUCCUCCAUUGGAGUCCCCAUUCUCAGUCCAAUGGUUGGCUGCACGCAUCCACUUCUGUUUUUGUCAGGCUCUUGCAGAGUCUCUCAGGAGACAGAUAUAUCAGGUCCUGUCAACAAGUACUUCUUGGCAUCAACAAUAGUGUCUGGGUUCAGUGUCCCAGGUGGGGCAGUCUCUGGAUGGUCUUUCCUUCAGUCUCUGGUCCACUCUUUGUCCCUGUAUUU